rnacentral:rRNA from 1 species
UACAGAGGGUGCGAGCGUUAAUCGGAAUUACUGGGCGUAAAGCGCACGUAGGUGGCGACGUAAGUCGGGUGUGAAAGCCCCGGGCUCAACCUGGGAAUUGCAUUCGAUACUGCUCAGCUAGAGUAUGGGAGAGGGUAGUGGAAUUCCCGGUGUAGCGGUGAAAUGCGUAGAUAUCGGGAGGAACAUCAGUGGCGAAGGCGGCUACCUGGCCCAAUACUGACACUCAGGUGCGACAGCGUGGGGAGCAAACAGG